rnacentral:snRNA from 1 species
UUGCUUCAGCAACAAAUAUAAAAUUGGAAAGACACAGAGAAGAUUAGCAUGGCCCCUGUGCAAGGAUGUCACACAGCAUUCCAUAUUUUUUGAAUGUUCUU